AUCCUGUUGUACAUAAACGUGAUGAUGUGUUUCAGUGCUUACGUGUGAGACGUGCCUCUCGCUAAUGUUAUUAUAAUGUUGGCACAUUACCUGUCUGACA
ensembl:snoRNA